UGAGCAAGAAAACAUCUGUGGUUGGAAAUCAGGGCUGGUGAUUCAAGCCUGUGUGUGACUUGGAGAGGAUGCCCUGAGCCCUUUGCUCAACAAACAGCUCUCUCCUGCAAGGAGGAGAGAGGCCAUCUGUCUGUCUGCUUUGACACUUUUACCCAGUGACCUUCAGGGCUUCAGACACUUCCCGGAGCAGCAUGUGGAUGGAAGAUGCCAGAUGAACAAAUCAUGGCUUUGGCCUCCAAGCUGCUUGCAUGCAACAUCAUGAAGGAACGAUGGACCUGGUCAGCCUUGAGCCUGGAGAGGAGCAGCCCCCUAUGAAGGCCAAGGGCAGCUCCCAAGCACUGGAAUUCUGUACUUCAACUGCAAAGGAAGUUAGUUUUCUGCUCGAGUGAGAUGAAACCAGUGGCGAUCUGAGCAAUCAAAGGCCAUCUAGUCCAAAGUUUCAAACGAUGAAAGACAGUGAGCAAAAACAGAGAUGCUUUCCUGAGUUGGAGGACAGGUCAUUUCUGAGACCAGUUCCACAAGGGGCACCAUUCUGGAGUGGUGGGCAGUCAUCAGCUCCAAAGAGCUCUGGUUUCCCCAGUAACCCAACCCCAACGAUACCGGAGAGGUCUGACGUCUGGUAGCAUGUCCUUCUGCUCCUACGGAAGAGAAGAUGGAGAGAGGUGGGUGAGGACCUCGAGGAGGAGACCUGAUCUGGAUGGCGACAGAGGGUGACAGAGAGGAGCAGAUGAGAUCAUGGACGGGAGAACUCUUUCUACCAAUAAAUUCCAAAACUCAAAUGAAGGAGGCGACCUGGCCAGCGGCAGUCCUGAGCAGGCUCUGAGCCCUAGGACAGGAGGGAAACGUCCAGCCCACGGGCCGUAUAAAGCCCAUAAAAUCAUUUGGUCUGGCCUUGCCAAGGCAUUAGGGAAGCGAUAUUUCUGCGAGUCCAGUUCCUCAACUUCAAAAUUCGAGGAAUUUGCAAACAGUCAUGUCAUGUGGCCCUGCCUCAACGUUUCCCAGCGAACUCUUCCAUCCCACACUGCAGAUAUGCCAGGAAUGGCAUGUGGAUGGCGGUUUGGCGGUUGUGAAACGGCCCUGAAACAUCAGUGAGGAAAGUGUUCCUCCUGCAUUUGUGGCCCAACUCCCUGCAGGAACUGCAGGUUUCUGUCUCCUGGAGCAGGAGGAAGCACCAACUAGGGGCGGCCCUGGGCCAGGGAAGCAAAGAAGCUGGCGGGACAGAGCUGCCUGUAUUCAGUGGACAUGUGCUCCUAACCUUUCUCAGUGCCCUUUGCAAACGUUAUUUGAUGCUAUUGGGAAAUCACAGGUGUCCUGGAAUUGGUGGCACACCUGAGCGUCCACUGGGAAGACGGCCCCUCCACCCCAACCCUCUAUGUGCUGGACAUUUUUGCACUGACAUUUGAAUAAAGAGGUGGUGG